UUCCCUUCCAUUAUGUUGUCGGUUAAUGAAGUAAAACCCCCCCAGAUCUUUUGGUCGGCAUUCUCGCCUAAACCAAAACCCCAACUCUUUCUCCCUCUUAUCAUUUUCCACGCUCGAGAAAAAACCCCAAAGAAAACCCCCCAAACCCAUUCUCUCUCCUCCCCGUCAGACUUUCUGUUUCUCUCUCGCUCACCUGCGUCGCGUCUCGCCGGCGAUUUGCCGAGCUUGUCGGAGAAUCUGCGUUACUCUCUCCUUUCUCGUCCCUCUUCGCUGCUGUGCGUGCGGUGCUGCUCGCGAGCCACCGCGGUGUUGUUGUCCCUCUAUUUCUCUUUCCUCCCGCAAGAUAUAGCUACCGGAGUUGCGCCGCUUUGCUCGCCGGUGAUGUGCUGUCGCUGCCGCAGCUUUUCCCUUCCCCCUGCUUGCAUCUCUCUCCCCUCUUGCUGUUAGUUGUUGCGCGGGUAUGGUGGCGGUGCCACCGCUUCGCCGCCGCCACGGUGCUUCUUUGUUUUUUUCUCUCUUCACUUUGCUGCCACCGUUUGUGGUAGUGUUAUAAGUAUCUUAUAUGUUUCAGGUUGAAGCGUGAGUUAUUCUUUUGCAAGCUGAAGCGGAUACGAGAUGGUGCAGUAUUAUAUUUGUUAUUGAAGUGAGGACGCUCCACUUGUAAUAGUUAAUCGUUUAUUUAUUUUUAAUAAUCUAUUUCUUUAUUUAAGAAUCGUUAGCUAGUGCUCCUGAUUCUCUGUUGGUUGUUGCUCCGCGAAAGCGUUGAGGUUGUUCAGCUUUGGGAUUUGGAAAUAUUUUAUAAAUUGAAAUUGUAACAGGUUCAUAUUAUUUUUCGCUUUA